GCUUUUAAUGGAAAACAGUUCUUCCACUGGUCUUAGGCGCCAAUACUCUUGGUGCAAAUCCAAGUAAAAGCU
rnacentral:tRNA from 1 species